GAUGAUAAAUAGAUAUGAACGGGUGUACAAGAGCAGUCGGCAUGUGAACAUGGAGGAAAGCCUAAAAACCGUCUUGGUCCCUAAAUCCAACGGGUUUAGAGACAUGCUUCGGUGUUUUCCCGAUGCCUCUCAUGCCUACUGUUCUUAGACGCUCCUUCCUCUUCCUUCGUGCU
rfam:Oryza brachyantha chromosome 4, whole genome shotgun sequence.